rnacentral:rRNA from 1 species
GCUCAACUGAGGAAUGGCUUUGGAAACUGGAUGACUUGAGUGCAGUAGAGGAAAGUGGAACUCCAUGUGUAGCGGUGAAAUGCGUAGAUAUAUGGAAGAACACCAGUGGCGAAGGCGGCUUUCUGGACUGUAACUGACGUUGAGGCUCGAAAGUGUGGGUAGCAAACAGGAUUAGAUACCCUGGUAGUCCACACCGUAAACGAUGAGUGCUAGAUGUUCGAGGGUUUCCGCCCUUGAGUGUCGCAGCUAACGCAUUAAGCACUCCGCCUGGGGAGUACGACCGCAAGGUUGAAACUCAAAGGAAUUGACGGGGACCCGCACAAGCGGUGGUGCAUGUGGUUUAAUUCGAAGCAACGCGAAGAACCUUACCAGGUCUUGACAUCCCUUGCUAAUCCUAGAAAUAGGACGUUCCCUUCGGGGACAAGGUGACAGGUGGUGCAUGGUUGUCGUCAGCUCGUGUCGUGAGAUGUUGGGUUAAGUCCCGCAACGAGCGCAACCCUUAUUAUUAGUUGCCAGCAUUCAGUUGGGCACUCUAGUGAGACUGCCGGUGACAAACCGGAGGAAGGUGGGGAUGACGUCAAAUCAUCAUGCCCCUUAUGACCUGGGCUACACACGUGCUACAAUGGCAUAUACAACG